rnacentral:lncRNA from 1 species
AAUCAUUGGUUAUUAAAGAUCAUUCUCCCUCAGGGAAUCUCUGUUUCGAUCAUCAUCUGAGCUACUCGAUCUGCUCCAUCGACUUCUUCUGAUCUCUGUUAAUCUUCUGCUACAGAUCACAACUUCAGUUGCUCAAACUCAAUCACCGAUCACAGUAUUGUUUAUUUUAUCAUACUACGUAUAUAUUAUCUUGCAUCAUAACUUAAAUAUCCAUUAUAUCUCAUAUCUGCUUCAGAUUAGUUCUAGUUAAGCAGGUGUUUCUUAUAUAGCUUAUAUACAUCAAUAACAUUAAUCACUAUCAUUUUCACAUAAUUAACCUUUAGUUGUAUCACCUGCACUCUCUGUUAUUAUCCGCUGCAACAUAUAUAUAAUCCAACCAUUUAUUGUCAAUAUAUAAAUAUCUUUGUAAUCAUAUUUAUAUCAAAACUUAACAAUUAUCUUAUUAUUAUUUCGGCUAUUGUGUCUGUGUCUCUAAACAGGUGGACACGGUCGUCUUGGUUGAUUUUGAAUAAAAUUAAUUGAUGGUGUGUGGGCUCGCGUUAAAGUGCUCACACACACAACUCUCUAGUUUUACUAUCUCUUUAAUUAUCGACCCUCUCCCUUAUU